rnacentral:lncRNA from 1 species
CUGAGUCACCAUGGUUGGAUGUAUCCAAUGAGGUGGCUACUCAUAAAGUUGAUGAUGCCAACCUAAUCGGUCAUAUACCCGAAUCGCCAUGGAUGGAGGUGUCUAAAGACACAUGGAGUCAAGCAUCUGCUCGUGAGGGAUCUGCUCAUGACUUCAGCGAGGAACCCCAUAUCCCAGAAACUCCAUGGAGUCAAGUGCUCGCUCGUGACUUCAGCAAAAAACCCCACAUCCCAGAAACUCCAUGGGGCAACAUGGCCUAGGAAGAACCCUAAGACUUCGAUGUGAAGCCUUGCAUUCCCG